ACAAAACCAAGAAAAAACCUUCCCGAACCAGCCCAACCGAGUGAAAAACUGCGUGAACACGCCUAAAACCAACCGCAUCCGUAGACGGCCUAAAUAACCAUGCGCACAAGAAACAAAACCGAGAAAAAAAAACCUAGAAAAAACCUUCCUAAACCGACCCAACCGAGGGAAAAAACCAACUGGUGAAAAACUGCGUGAACCCGCCUAAAACCAACCGGGGGGUCUUCUUAAUAGAAGGGACAUU
rnacentral:lncRNA from 1 species